rnacentral:rRNA from 1 species
AGUGAACGCUGGCGGUAGGCCUAACACAUGCAAGUCGAACGGCAGCACAGUAAGAUCUUGCUCUUACGGGUGGCGAGUGGCGGACGGGUGAGGAAUACAUCGGAAUCUACUUUUUCGUGGGUGAUAACGUAGGGAAACUUACGCUAAUACCGCAUACGACCUACGGGUGAAAGCAGGGGAUCUUCGGACCUUGCGCGAUUGAAUGAGCCGAUGUCGGAUUAGCUAGUUGGCGGGGUAAAGGCCCACCAAGGCGACGAUCCGUAGCUGGUCUGAGAGGAUGAUCAGCCACACUGGAACUGAGACACGGUCCAGACUCCUACGGGAGGCAGCAGUGGGGAAUAUUGGACAAUGGGCGCAAGCCUGAUCCAGCAAUACCGCGUGGGUGAAGAAGGCCUUCGGGUUGUAAAGCCCUUUUGUUGGGAAAGAAAAGCAGCAGGUUAAUACCCCGCUGUUCUGACGGUACCCAAAGAAUAAGCACCGGCUAACUUCGUG